rnacentral:sRNA from 12 species
GCCGUCAACAGACGGCAAAUAUUAGCCUUGAUAUGUCUGGGUGGACGCUUCUUGCAUGACCGUUGACUGCGUUAGACGGUUUCAUACCCAGUGGCAUUACGCGGUAUAUCACGCAAACCGGAUUGCGCCAAGGUUUACCAAAGCAAUGUCCGUAUACCGUACAAGGUGUUUUUAGCAAUUUUAUUUUUA